rnacentral:rRNA from 1 species
CCUACGGGUGGCAGCAGUGGGGGAUAUUGGACAAUGGGGGGAACCCUGAUCCAGCGACGCCGCGUGAGUGAAGCCGUAUUUCGGUCUGUAACGCUCUGUCAGCAGGGAAGAAAGAAAUGCCGGUACCUGACCAAGAAACCCCGUCUAACUACGUACCAGCAGCCGCGGUAAUACGUAGGGGGCAAGCGUUAUCCGGACUUACUGGGUGUAAAGGGAGCGUAGACGGUUAAGUAAGUCUGGAGUGAAAGGCCGGGGCCCAACCCCGGGAGUGAUAUGGAAACUAUUGAACUUGAGUGCAGUAGAGGUAAGCGGAAUUCCUAGUGUAGCGGUGAAAUGCGUAGAUAUUAGGAGGAACACCAGUGGCGAAGGCGGCUUACUGGACUGUAACUGACGUUGAGGCUCGAAAGCGUGGGGAGCAAACAGGAUUAGAUACCCUAGUAGUC